CAGGACGACGCUGGCGGCACGCCUAACACAUGCAAGUCGAACGGAGAUUGAGAGCUGCUCUAAAUCUAGCGGCGGACGGGUGAGUAACACGUGAGCAACCUGGCCUCUGAGAGAGGGAUAGCUUCUGGAAACGGAUGGUAAUACCUCAUAACAUUACAUGACCGCAUGAUCGUGUAAUCAAAGAUUUAUCACUCAGAGAUGGGCUCGCGUCUGAUUAGCUAGUUGGUGAGGUAACGGCCCACCAAGGCGACGAUCAGUAGCCGGACUGAGAGGUUGAACGGCCACAUUGGGACUGAGACACGGCCCAGACUCCUACGGGGAGGCAGCAGUGAGGGAUAUUGCACAAUGGAGGAAAAACCUCUGAUGCAGCGAUGCCGCGUGGAGGAAGAAGGUUUUCGGAUUGUAAACUCCUGUUUCGAGGGACGAUAAUGACGGUACCUCGGGAGGAAGCUCCGGCUAACUACGUGCCAGCCGCCGC
rnacentral:rRNA from 1 species